rnacentral:rRNA from 2 species
AGACCCGAAACCCGGUGAUCUAGCCAUGGGCAGGUUGAAGGUUGGGUAACACUAACUGGAGGACCGAACCGACUAAUGUUGAAAAAUUAGCGGAUGACCUGUGGCUGGGGGUGAAAGGCCAAUCAAACCGGGAGAUAGCUGGUUCUCCCCGAAAGCUAUUUAGGUAGCGCCUCGUGAAUUCAUCUCCGGGGGUAGAGCACUGUUUCGGCUAGGGGGCCAUCCCGGCUUACCAACCCGAUGCAAACUGCGAAUACCGGAGAAUGUUAUCACGGGAGACACACGGCGGGUGCUAACGUCCGUCGUGAAGAGGGAAACAACCCAGACCGCCAGCUAAGGUCCCAAAGUCAUGGUUAAGUGGGAAACGAUGUGGGAAGGCCCAGACAGCCAGGAUGUUGGCUUAGAAGCAGCCAUCAUUUAAAGAAAGCGUAAUAGCUCACUGGUCGAGUCGGCCUGCGCGGAAGAUGUAACGGGGCUAAACCAUGCACCGAAGCUGCGGCAGCGACGCUGAUGCGUUGUUGGGUAGGGGAGCGUUCUGUAAGCCUGUGAAGGUGUGUCGUGAGGCAUGCUGGAGGUAUCAGAAGUGCGAAUGCUGACAUAAGUAACGAUAAAGCGGGUGAAAAGCCCGCUCGCCGGAAGACCAAGGGUUCCUGUCCAACGUUAAUCGGGGCAGGGUGAGUCGACCCCUAAGGCGAGGCCGAAAGGCGUAGUCGAUGGGAAACGGGUUAAUAUUCCCGUACUUGGUGUUACUGCGAAGGGGGGACGGAGAAGGCUAUGUUGGCCGGGCGACGGUUGUCCCGGUUUAAGCGUGUAGGUGUGUGUUCCAGGUAAAUCCGGUUCACUUUAACACUGAGGCGUGAUGACGAGGCACUACGGUGCUGAAGCAACAAAUGCCCUGCUUCCAGGAAAAGCCUCUAAGCAUCAGGUAACAUCAAAUCGUACCCCAAACCGACACAGGUGGUCAGGUAGAGAAUACCAAGGCGCUUGAGAGAACUCGGGUGAAGGAACUAGGCAAAAUGGUGCCGUAACUUCGGGAGAAGGCACGCUGACAC